rnacentral:lncRNA from 1 species
AGCAUGAGAGUUUAAUUAUUUGUACAAAAGAUAUGCCCCACUCUAACAAAUAUAAGUGAAGCAAAAGAGCAUUCUACAAAUGGAGGUUUUCUAUGUGUAGGGAAAUAAGCAAUCCAAACUUCAAAUGAUAUAAGUGAAGCACAUGAGGCAUUCCAUAAAGCCAUACUCAAAAGAUAUAAGUGAAGUGCAAAGAGCAUUCUAUAAAUCAACCAAGGACCAUCUCAUACCAGCAUGGUGCAUAAAAUAAAAAGGAAAAAUAAACAAAAAAGAC